rnacentral:lncRNA from 1 species
UAUCUGUCCUACAUUAUUGGUACUGGUGAUUCUCAUCUUCCCCAGAUGAGAAGCAUUAGCAUUACCUAGGAACUUGUAAGAAAUGCAAAAAUUUCAGGCUCUACUCCAGAUCUAGGAACAUGAAACUCUGAGAGUAGGCAUAGUGAUCUCUGGUCACACAAAGCAUAGAGGUGAUUCUAAUAUUCACUAUAGUUAACCAGUGGGGUAACAGAAAAUCCAGGCAUUUAUUAUGCUGCAAAAUAAGAUAGGGCUAGGAGUAUAGCUUAGUGGUGGAAUCCAUGUUUGAGGCCCCUUGAUUCAAUCCUUAGCAAAAAAUACAUACAUACAUACAUACAUACAUACAUACAUACCUCAAAGGUAAAUUUUUAAAUAAUCCCCAUACUAUAAAAUUCAGACCUUUUUAAAGUGUGAUUUUUCAGAAGCACAAUGUUUGCUUUAGUAAAACCUUGUUGAAAGAACUUUAGUGGAUUCCAACAGAGACACUAUCAUUUUAGAUGUCAUAAACUAAUUUUUUUCAUGCAUACAUAUAAAUAGAAGGGAGUCUUGCUUUUUCAGCUGUGAUAAAUAUCCUAGGACGUGUGUAGCAUUCUAAGAUGGGCAAUUGGAGAUGUUCAAAUUGAUCCCUUCAAGUAAGGCCUUAUUUAAUCAAAAUCUUUUUAUCAUGACAAAUUUCAAUUUAUAUAAGAGAAAAUAGUAUCAUUGUGUUUUCCUUCUACCCUGUGACAGUAUACCUGAGAUACUCAAUUUAAAAGGAGGAAAGAUUUAUUUUGGCUCACACUUUCAGAGCUUUCAGACCAUGGUUGCCCUGGACCAUGUGCCUGUGGCUUUGUGCCUGUAGUGGCACAGUAUGUCAAGGUCAUUUGAAAUUAUGCCACCAACUAGAUCACAAAAUCUUUUGAUUUGUACAAAUGUUGACAAUGGUUUAUCUGAUAUGGAAAGUUCUUCCAGUAUAUUUAAAAUAUUCAGUUUGGGAUAAAAAAUUUUACACAAUAUUCUAGGGGCUUCCGUUUUAUAAACUGAGAUGCAUGAAAAUAACUCUGCAUCUAAGAAUAACUGUUUUCUAGAUAACUUUUUGCCACUUCACUUUUGAGAAGAACUAGGCAGUAGAAUUGUUUUGUGAAAUUUAAGUUCAAUUAGUUUAUAUGGAAGACAGCUGAUAUAGUAUCUGGUUGAAAAAGAACUUUUCCUAAUGCAGCUCUAUGUAAUGUCAACAAGAUAUGAAUAUUCAUUUGUUUUGUUUGUGUAUGUGUGUUUUCCUUUGUUAUUUUUUAUAUGAAAUUCAUUUAUUAUGUACAUUACAUAUCAUAAAUUUUAUAUAAUUUUAUUAUAAAAUUAUAUGUGUAUAUAAUUUAUC